UUGUUACUUCCUCUAUCCGAAAAAACUUGUCCCUCAAAUGGAUGUAUUUAGCACUACUUGGUGCUAGAUACAUCCAUUUGAGGGACAAGGUUUUUCGGAGGGAGGGAGUAAUUG
rnacentral:pre_miRNA from 1 species